rnacentral:rRNA from 1 species
UACGGGGGGGGCAAGCGUUGUUCGGAAUUACUGGGCGUAAAGGGCUCGUAGGCGGCCAACUAAGUCGGACGUGAAAUCCCUCGGCUUAACCGGGGAACUGCGUCCGAUACUGGAUGGCUUGAGUUUGGGAGAGGGAUGCGGAAUUCCAGGUGUAGCGGUGAAAUGCGCAGAUAUCGGGAAGAACACCCGUGGCGAAGGCGGUUCUCUGGGACGGUACUGACGCUGAGACGCGAAAGCGUGGGGAGCGAACAGG